rnacentral:rRNA from 1 species
GAGUUGUAAUUUGAAGAUUGUAACCUUGGGGUUGGCUCUUGUCUAUGUUUCUUGGAACAGGACGUCACAGAGGGUGAGAAUCCCGUGCGAUGAGAUGCCCAAUCCUAUGUAAGGUGCUUUCGAAGAGUCGAGUUGUUUGGGAAUGCAGCUCUAAGUGGGUGGUAAAUUCCAUCUAAAGCUAAAUAUUGGCGAGAGACCGAUAGCGAACAAGUACAGUGAUGGAAAGAUGAAAAGAACUUUGAAAAGAGAGUGAAAAAGUACGUGAAAUUGUUGAAAGGGAAGGGUUUGAGAUCAGACUCGAUAUUUUGUGAGCCUUGCCUUCGUGGCGGGGUGACCCGCAGCUUAUCGGGCCAGCAUCGGUUUGGGCGGUAGGAUAAUGGCGUAGGAAUGUGACUUUGCUUCGGUGAAGUGUUAUAGCCUGCGUUGAUGCUGCCUGCCUAGACCGAGGACUGCGAUUUUAUCAAGGAUGCUGGCAUAAUGAUCCCAAACCGCCCGUCUUGAACCCCGGACCAAAA